GACGAACGCUGGCGGCGUGCUUAACACAUGCAAGUCGAACGGAAAGGCCCUGCUUUUGUGGGGUUCUCGAGUGGCGAACGGGUGAGUAACACGUGAGUAACCUGCCCUUGACUUUGGGAUAACUUCAGGAAACUGGUGCUAAUACCGGAUAGGAGCGCCUGCUGCAUGGUGGGGGUUGGAAAGUUUAGGCGGUUGGGGAUGGACGCGGGGGUGAUCAGCUGGUUGGUGGGGUAGUGGCUUACCAAGGCUUUGAUGGGUAGCCGGCCUGGGAGGGUGACCGGCCACAUUGGGACUGAGAUACGGACCAGACUCCUACGGGAGGCAGCAGUGGGAAAUAUUGCACAAUGGGCGGAAGCCUGAUGCAGCAACGCCGCGUGCGGGAUGACGGCCUUCGGGUUGUAAACCGCUUUCGCCUGUGACGAAGCGUGAGUGACGGUAAUGGGUAAAGAAGCACCGGCUAACUACGUG
rnacentral:rRNA from 1 species